AUGCCUAAUGCAUCUAGGGCCAAAUUCCCCAUUACUUAGUAUUUUUUUUCUCUUUUCACCAAAUACACCAAUAAUUAGCCAAAUCAGAGAACAUAACUCUCACCAACCUUGUUUGUGCCAUCACUACCUAAUCAGAGAAAGGUUUGCCAUCACUCAUCUUCACGCUGUCACCACUCACCACUUCCCUACUUCUCCACCACCAUUUCGCCACUCGAUCGAGAACUGUCACCCUUCUUCACCCAUUUGUCGAGAAGGUGAACUCGUACCCAACUGUUCGAGGAUUUAUUGUAAUAGGAACUAGAGGUGAGGACUUCAUGCAAUCAAUGGUUAUUGCCGUGAAAUCUGUAAUCCAACAGCCCAUUCCUGAGAGAUAUGUUUGGACAAAGAAUAAUGGAAUGAUGGUCUACUAACUACAAUAAGAGAUGG